GAUCUUGCACAAUGGAGGAAACUCUGAUGCAGCGAUGCCGCGUGAGUGAAGAAGGCCUUUGGGUUGUAAAGCUCUUUCGUCGGGGAAGAAAAUGACGGUACCCGAAUAAGAAGGUCCGGCUAACUUCGUGCCAGCAGCCGCGGUAAUACGAAGGGACCUAGCGUAGUUCGGAAUUACUGGGCUUAAAGAGUUCGUAGGUUGUUAAAAAAGUUGGUGGUGAAAUCCCAGAGCUUAACUCUGGAACUGCCAUCAAAACUUUUUAGCUAGAGUAUGAUAGAGGAAAGCAGAAUUUCUAGUGUAGAGGUGAAAUUCGUAGAUAUUAGAAAGAAUACCAAUUGCGAAGGCAGCUUUCUGGAUCAUUACUGACACUGAGGAACGAAAGCAUGGGUAGCGAAGAGGAUUAGAUACCCUCGUAGUCCAUGCCGUAAACGAUGUGUGUUAGACGUUGGAAAUUUAUUUUCAGUGUCGCAGCGAAAGCAUUAAACACACCGCCUGGGGAGUACGACCGCAAGGUUAAAACUCAAAUGAAUUGACGGGGACCCGCACAAGUAGUGGAGCAUGUGGUUUAAUUCGAAGAUACGCGCAGAACCUUACCAACACUUGACAUGUUCGUCGCGACUUUAAGAAAUUAAAGUCUUCGGUUCGGCCGGACGAAACACAGGUGCUGCAUGGCUGUCGUCAGCUCGUGUCGUGAGAUGUUGGGUUAAGUCCCGCAACGAGCGCAACCCUCACUUUUAGUUACCAUCAUUUAGUUGGGUACUCUGAAAGAACUGCCAGUGAUAAGCUGGAGGAAGGUGGGGAUGACGUCAAGUCCUCAUGGCCCUUACGUGUUGGGCUACACACGUGCUACAAUGGCAUCUACAAUAGGAAGCAAGAUGGCGACAUUGAGCAAAUCCUAAAAAGAUGCCUCAGUUCGGAUUGUACUCUGCAACUCGAGUACAUGAAGCUGGAAUUACUAGUAAUCGCGGAUCAGCGCGCCGCGGUGAAUACGUUCCCGGGUCUUGUACACACCGCCCGUCACACCAUGGGAGUUGGUUCUACCUUAAGGCAAAGCUUAUAAACUUUGACCACGGUAUAGUCAGCGACUGGGGUGAAGUCGUAACAAGGUAGCCGUAGGGGAACCUGCGGCUG
rnacentral:rRNA from 1 species